rnacentral:rRNA from 1 species
ACUGAGGGUGCGAGCGUUAAUCGGAAUUACUGGGCGUAAAGGGAGUGUAGGCGGUUGCCUCAGUCGGAUGUGAAAGCCCCGGGCUUAACCUGGGAAUUGCAUUCGAUACUGGGUGACUAGAGUUUGGUAGAGGUAAGUGGAAUUCCGGGUGUAGCGGUGAAAUGCGUAGAUAUCCGGAGGAACAUCAGUGGCGAAGGCGGCUUACUGGACCAAAACUGGCGCUGAGGCUCGAAAGCGUGGGGAGCAAACAGG